GCCUGGAUGGCUCAGUUGGUUGAGCGUCUGACUUCGACUCAGGUCAUAAUCUCACGGUCCGUGUAUUUGAGCCCUGCGUUGGCCUCUGGGCU
rnacentral:tRNA from 1 species